rnacentral:lncRNA from 10 species
CCAACGACCAAAGCAAAGGACAGCAGAACUGACUGACACAGCUCAGAAAAUAUCCAAAGCUCUGGUCUUGCUCUGUCACCCACACUGGAGUGCAAUGCCACCAUCUUGGCUCACUGCAGCCUUGACCUCCUUGGGCUCAAGUGAUCCUCCUGCUUCAGCCUACCAUGUAGCUGGGACUACAGGUAUGCUCUGGAAAGGAAGACAAGAAAUGCUAAAGACUCUGGAUAUUGCUCUGUUUCUAUAAGGUCCCACCCAUAUACCAUCUCUUCUUUUGGAUUUCCUUUGGCAGGGUUCCCUUGUAUGGAAGUUCUCAGGAGAACAACACUCUCAGAGUCCCACUGUCUCAAAGAAUUCUUAAUGGACAGCUAUACUUGGCCCCAAGGUUUCAACCUCACACUGAAGAAAGUGACAUAAGAAAACACAAGUCCCAGUGCUAUCAGGGGCUAUCUGGAAAAGCUGCUUAAACAGCAAGUGAAAGAAGGCUCUCCCCUACCCCGUUCUAGAUGACAGGUCCUAUGUAAGAUACACAUACCACAUGCUGUCAACCCAUCUGAGACACUCAGCUUUCAAAUGACAGUUCUUCUCUGAAGCUAACCUAGCCAAAAGAGUGAAAUACACUAUCUGUUAAGCUGUGUCAGUAGCUAAGUCUGUGUGUCUAAAUUAAAAACAUACUCACCCUGAAGUUAUUUGAAGGAUCCUUGAGACUCUUUUGGAUUGCUGCUUGGAGAACAUUCCUGUAACUUGUCCCUGCUCCUUGAACUAUAAAAGCAGAAGGGAGGUACUGAGUUAAAACUUACAAAUUAUUAUCAAAUAAAUCUUCAAUAGUGGUUCA